AUUGAACGCUGGCGGCAUGCCUUACACAUGCAAGUCGAACGGUAACAGGUCUUCGGAUGCUGACGAGUGGCGAACGGGUGAGUAAUACAUCGGAACGUGCCCGAUCGUGGGGGAUAACGAGGCGAAAGCUUUGCUAAUACCGCAUACGAUCUACGGAUGAAAGCGGGGGAUCUUCGGACCUCGCGCGGACGGAGCGGCCGAUGGCAGAUUAGGUAGUUGGUGGGAUAAAAGCUUACCAAGCCGACGAUCUGUAGCUGGUCUGAGAGGAUGAUCAGCCACACUGGGACUGAGACACGGCCCAGACUCCUACGGGAGGCAGCAGUGGGGAAUUUUGGACAAUGGGCGAAAGCCUGAUCCAGCCAUGCCGCGUGCAGGAUGAAGGCCUUUGGGUUGUAAACUGCUUUUGUACGGAACGAAAAGCCUCUUUCUAAUAAAGAGGGGUCAUGACGGUACCGUAAGAAUAAGCACCGGCGAACUACGU
rnacentral:rRNA from 1 species